UCUCUCGUUCUCAUCUCUCUUUCUCUCUCGUUCAUGUCUGAAAUUCGAAGAUUUCAGAGAUAUCAAAUCCCAAAUCAAGCCUACCUCUUAUGUAGUCUCCAAAAACUCUCAAGAGCAGCAGAACAAAGAAGAAGAAAAGCCCUAAACUUCUCAUUUCCUUGGUUUUUGAUUUGAGAGAUCAUGAAGAGGAAUGACGUUUUCCUCGUCAAAGAGUUUGGAAAUGGAAAUCAAAUGGUUCAAUUCAGUAAAGAACCUAACAAUCUCUACAACGUUAACACCUUCAAACACUUUGGGUUAGCUACUGCAAAGACUAUUUCAGUUCAAGCUGGAAAAGAUUCAGGUGUUGUUCUGGCUACUAUCAAGACUAACAAACAGAAGUACCCUUCAGCUUUGGUGCACUAAACUGUCAUGAAGCUAGGAAACAUACCUCUUCUUCUCAUAUCACUGAAAUUCAGGAAAAACUUUCUGAGAGAGUAUUAGAGCUUCCUGUGUUUCCCGAGGAUGAUGUUCUGCAGCUGCUCCUUGGUAUUGGUUGUGGCUCUGGACUAAGCGGAGAAACAUUAUCUGAGUGGACUGCUAGGAUUGGUUUAGACAUAUCUGAUUCAAUGAUGUUGCAUUGGAGUAGGAAGUAGAAGGUGAUCUUUUGCUAAGUGAUAUGGGUCAGGUCUUGUUACUUUACUUUGCGAUAACAAGUCUGAGCUGUAAAAUAGUUCUGAAAAGAAGAUGCAUUGCUUCCUAUAUAUAGAAUGGUUGGGAGUUGGGACUGGGUAGCCUUCAAAGAUUACCUUAACCACCCUUUACCAUGAUCGUAAGUGUUCCUUUUCUCUUUCUAUCAAUGUUUAUUAACUAGUUGAUGUUAUAAACAUUUGUCGCUUUUUGGUUUCAUGAUAUGGGUUUCAUGGAUGGAGUUAUUAAUGGUGCUAUUAGCAUCUCAGCGGUACAGUGGAUUUGCUAUGUGGAUAGGUCCUCUCAUAAUCCGCGACUGAGAUUUAAGGCAUUUUUUGGAUCACUAUAUCGGUGUUAACCCUGAAAGCAAUGACCAGCUUGAAUUGAUCCUAGGAUUUGCUAAGCGUGCUGGCUUUGUAGGUGGUGUGGUUGUUGAUUUUUCCACCAUAGGUGGAUGAAGGGGAGUUUCCACUUGCUGCAUUUCAUAGAGGGAAGGAGAUUUCUAGAUACAAAGACCUUGAUUGUAGUAGAAACUCGAUGAAUGGUGGCACUGGAGCAGGUGACUGAAGGGGAGUUUCCACUUGCUGUAUUUCAUGGAGGGGAGGGGAUUUCUAGAUACAAAGACCUUGACUGUAGAAGAAGAAGAUAAAAAGCAAUCAAUGUUUACCGGUCUACACAAAUUAAAAGCAACCACCAACAUUGUUCCGCAACACUGGCAACCAAACAAUGGUCUUCUCAUGACCAAUGAUAUCUCAGGAGUCAGGUCUCAACCUUGAAGAAGCAGUUCCAUGCAUAGCUCUCUCAAGGAAUGAUACAUAUGUAAUGUCCGCAACCGGUGGAAAGAUAUCAUUAUUUAACAUGACUUACAAGGUAAUGACAACAUUUGUGCCACCUCCACCAGCUUCAACAUACGUAGUGAAGCCAUCCAAUGUGGUUUUUGAGUAUGUUGAUGGUUUCAGGAGGCUUGAUAGGAGAUCUUCAAGAGAUUCUACAAGGCCUGAUUCAUUUCCUUGUCAGGAUUCUCCCUAAAUCUAAGCAAUAGCAACUUAUAUUACAGUAAACAACAAUGAAUUCCUAGUACCUACCUCAACAACAGAUUCUAAUGCUUGGCCACAACAGCAACAACAGAUUCUAGUGCUGCAAAAAGCAUAUUCUAAUACCACAGCAUCGAUAUCUGGUCACAUCAUCCUCUUAACUGAACAGGCUUUAUGUAUUUGGAUUUCAAUGUGAGAGUUCUUUUUCUCUAAAUAAUUUUGUAAGAUCACCUUGGUCUGUGAUGAUACUGAAUAUAUAGAUAUAUCCAAAUGACAAUCCUUCAUAUGAUUUUUAUGAUGUCUUA